AUAUAUCUGGAAUGCUCGAUAAUUCCUGUUUAUUUUGAACCUACAUUUACUUUAAACGGGAUUCCUACAGCGUAGUAAUAUGUCAGGCCUCCGAUUGCAGUGGAAGACAAAAAAACUAUGUGCGGUUGCCCACCUAGCUUUGCUAGGAGUCAAAAGGCAGGAACCGGCAUUCUGGAUAUAUA
rnacentral:other from 1 species